UGGUAUUCACGGAAAACGAAAGGAGGACUCUUAACCUCGCUAAAAUAGUACAGUUGCAAGGUUAUAUAGACCCUCAUGUUAGUGCUCCGGUAUGACAUGAAUCUAUAUAAGCAGGUGAGACUUCUUAGAGGGAAUGGCACAUUACAAAAAGUGCACGAGGGACAGCAAUAACAGGUCUGUGAUGCCCUAAGAUAUCAGGGGCCGCACGCGUGCUACAAUGACGAUGCAAGUGAGCAUGAUUUACCUGGUCCGAAAGGAUUGGGAAACCUGUUUAAUCAUCGUCGUGACUGGGAUUGGGGUUUGUAAUUAUCCCCCAUGAACGAGGAAUUCCUAGUAAGCACAAGUCAUAAGCUUGUGCUGAUUACGUCCCUGCCCUUUGUACACACCGCCCGUCGCUACUACCGAUUGAAUGGUUUAGCAAGGUUAUUGGAUUGGCUUUUCACGGUUCGCGCCGCUUAAAGCUGAGAAGAUGACCGAACUUGAUCAUUUAUAGGAAGUAAACGUCAUAACAAGGUUUCCGUAGGUGAACCUGCGGAAGGAUCAUUAUCGAAUUCCUAUCUAUCUUGGCUUUUAGCUUUACCGCUAAUAGUCAAUCACUUCAAUACUAUUUAAAAUGAGUAUUGUCGUUCCGGUACCGAUCGUUGUCUGAGGCUAGGUUCUAUGUAUGGUAGAUCUAGGUGGUAGUAGGUCUACAUAGGCAAGGAUCAUUUUAUGUUUCCCUCAGUACAGCAUUGCCACUAUGCCUAAUGCCAUUUCUUAUUGGCCAACAACAAAUAUAUCCGAUAACGAACGAUGACCUAUCUGUUGCCACGCCU
rnacentral:rRNA from 1 species